AGCCCUGGCCACGCCUUUGUCUCCGUGGGACCCCAGACUGGCCCCUUCCCGCCGUGGUCCCGUGACCUGACCCGGCCUUGAGCGGGGCGGGGGCGGCAGGACCCUCAGGUCUCUCCGCAGGAUGGCAGCGGGGGAGUGAGGCAGCCAGGUAUCCACAGACGGCUCCAUGUGCCCCACGGCACACACAAAAUAAACACCUUCAAAUUGAGCCAAGUACCCGGGGCAGGUGUGGAGUGUCUGCUGAGGCGAAGGCACUGCGGCUCCCUGGGGACACUCGUGGCCUCUCCAGGUUACUACAGAUGGGGGACAGCGGGUCCUUUGGAUUGAUCGCAGAGUUGAACAACAGAGAAUGUGUGCACAGUGCCAGGCACAGGUGUGGUCAAGAUUCACCUGGGAGAGGAAGUGGGCAGGGGCAGAGGAGUGUGCCCACCUGAGCUGAAAGGCUGCAUGGCAGGUGACCAUUAUCACCAGUGUCGCCAGCCAGGUCACCUCUCUGAAUUUUGUGGUUGCAACCUCCAUGAUUCCCUAGAGCUGUUUUUACCCAGAACUAAUGAAAAAUUCUGCACAUUAAAUUCAUGCUAUUAGAA